UACGUAGGGCGCGAGCGUUGUCCGGAAUUAUUGGGCGUAAAGAGCUCGUAGGCGGCCUGUCGCGUCGGUUGUGAAAGCCCGGGGCUCAACCCCGGGUCUGCAGUCGAUACGGGCAGGCUAGAGUUCGGUAGGGGAGAUCGGAAUUCCUGGUGUAGCGGUGAAAUGCGCAGAUAUCAGGAGGAACACCGGUGGCGAAGGCGGAUCUCUGGGCCGAUACUGACGCUGAGGAGCGAGAGCGUGGGGAGCGAACAGG
rnacentral:rRNA from 1 species